GUUUUCCGCGGUGUAAUGCCGCGGCCUCAUUGAAGC
rnacentral:other from 1 species